rnacentral:rRNA from 1 species
UGGGGAAUAUUGCACAAUGGGCGCAAGCCUGAUGCAGCCAUGCCGCGUGUGUGAAGAAGGCCUUCGGGUUGUAAAGCACUUUCAGCGAGGAGGAAGGGUAGUGUGUUAAUAGCACAUUGCAUUGACGUUACUCGCAGAAGAAGCACCGGCUAACUCCGUGCCAGCAGCCGCGGUAAUACGGAGGGUGCAAGCGUUAAUCGGAAUUACUGGGCGUAAAGCGCACGCAGGCGGUUUGUUAAGUCAGAUGUGAAAUCCCCGCGCUUAACGUGGGAACUGCAUUUGAAACUGGCAAGCUAGAGUCUUGUAGAGGGGGGUAGAAUUCCAGGUGUAGCGGUGAAAUGCGUAGAGAUCUGGAGGAAUACCGGUGGCGAAGGCGGCCCCCUGGACAAAGACUGACGCUCAGGUGCGAAAGGGUGGGGAGCAAACA